UACGUAGGCAGCGAGCGUUGUUCGGAAUUACUGGGUGUAAAGAGUGUGUAGGCGGUGCUCUAAGUUCGGUGUGAAAUCUCCUGCUUAACUGGGAGGGUGCGCCGGAAACUGGAGUGCUCGAACGUGGGAGAGGAAAGCGGAAUUCCUGGUGUAGCGGUGAAAUGCGUAGAUAUCAGGAGGAACACCUGCGGUGUAGACGGCUUUCUGGACCAUUGUUGACGCUGAGACACGAAAGCGUGGGUAGCAAACAGG
rnacentral:rRNA from 1 species